CCUCCCAGCCCUUUCCCUUUAUAUACCAAGGCAGUGAUUUUUCCUCCCAAUAUAUUUUCUUCUCUGUGACUCAGGAGCCUGAGGCUGCAAGAGAUCAGUCUCUUCCUACAAACCUGGCUUCUUCUCUCCUACAUCCUGGUCCCUUACAAGCAUGCCUGACAUGUGCUAUUCAAGAGUCUCAAUCUUAACACUUGAGGAUUUUGAGAAAUUAAUGUAUCAGAAAACAAGGCAAUUCAUAAAAGAAGUUAAACAUAUGGAAUGUCAGAAUACUGAUUCAUCGGACUUGGAAGAUAUUAGUAACCUAGCCUUUCAGUAUAAGGAUGACAUCAAUGAACAUUUGUUGAAUGCUGUUGAUCCCAACCGUCAGAGUCAGGAUCAGGCCCUUGCUAGGCAUUCCAGCCCCAGGAUGCUGCUGGAGCCCCAAAUAAAGAUUAAAUCAGAGCGCUCCAGUUAUGUUUCUCAGCUAACAUUUGAUUCAACACUGGAGAUGGCUCUGUCUAUCUGGGAUUUCAUGCUGAAAGAGGUUAAAAGUUUGUGGCAACAAUUGCUGAACUGGUUGAAGAAAAUAUUUACUACCCUAAAGGAUGCUGCCAUUUCCUUGUGGGAGGGAGUAAUUCAGGCAAUGAAUAAUAUAGUGGAAUGGUUUGAGGAUCUGUUUUAAUUCUCUCCAUAGCAGAAAGGGCUGCAUGUCAUGGGUACCCUGUAAGACUUCUAGAUUUAAGGUAAUUUAAAAUUUUUUUCAAAUUAUAAAUUUCACAAAUAAAAAAAGAAGAAGAUAGGGGAGAAUUUCCA
rnacentral:lncRNA from 1 species